rnacentral:rRNA from 1 species
AUUGAACGCUGGCGGCAGGCCUAACACAUGCAAGUCGAGCGGAUGAAGGGAGCUUGCUCCUGGAUUCAGCGGCGGACGGGUGAGUAAUGCCUAGGAAUCUGCCUGGUAGUGGGGGAUAACGUCCGGAAACGGGCGCUAAUACCGCAUACGUCCUGAGGGAGAAAGUGGGGGAUCUUCGGACCUCACGCUAUCAGAUGAGCCUAGGUCGGAUUAGCUAGUUGGUGGGGUAAAGGCCUACCAAGGCGACGAUCCGUAACUGGUCUGAGAGGAUGAUCAGUCACACUGGAACUGAGACACGGUCCAGACCCCUACGGGAGGCAGCAGUGGGGAAUAUUGGACAAUGGGCGAAAGCCUGAUCCAGCCAUGCCGCGUGUGUGAAGAAGGUCUUCGGAUUGUAAAGCACUUUAAGUUGGGAGGAAGGGCAGUAAGUUAAUACCUCGCUGUUUUGACGUUACCAACAGAAUAAGCACCGGCUAACUUCGUG